rnacentral:ncRNA from 1 species
AUGCCGUUGUCUGAAAAGACAGUACGGCGAAGCUACCAUCUGCUGGAUUACGGCUGAACGCCUCUAAGCCGGAAUCCAUGCUGGAUAAGCAGUGUUGUACACCGUGCUCAAUGCUACAAGAAAAAGGCUAGGUCAGGCUUCGGCCUGACCAAAAUUCAAGCUGCUAUACCUCUGGCUGCAUUGACUUGUGGUCAGAGUGUAUGGUGAUCAUAGCAAUUGCAAGUAUUGGGCUCGAUAAAUCCUUUGAAGACGACUUAAUUGCAUCCGGGUAUUGUAAGUGUUGAGAGUAGGCUUAGUCUUACGAUCCACUGAGAUUCAUCCCGUGUUGCGCCGAUUUGU